UAAGCAGCUUUGAGUCCAGCAUAAAACUCUACCUACCUAUUAGUUUUUGGAAAAUUAUUCAGAAACUCUGGUAUUCAUUUUCUCCCUCUGUAAAAUAUUAUAAUACAUGUAAUAUUUUUGAAAGAUGGCCUAGUUUUUAUGAGGAAGGGCUCUUAGAUUGGACAGGCUGAUUGUGAAUUUUGGCUCCAACUCUUGAAAGAAUGAAGUUUAAAGGAAAACAUUUCCCUGAGUGAUAGGUGAUUUCAGUUAUUUAAGGCAAAUGUUUUCCAUGGAAUAUGCAUAGCAGCAACCAGUAAUAACAGGAUUCGCGCCUCACAGUCUAUGUGCCCUCAAUCUUCUGCAGUGGUCCUGUGCAAGAAAGCUGUAGCAUCGUAACCAGAUUCCACAACAGCUAUAGAAGGUGCUCCAGUUAUCAUCACUUUAUAAGGUGGUUAGACCUGGAUGUAUGCCUUCUUUCUUUCUGGGAAGAGUCAGCCCUACUCUACAAAUGAGGAGGGAAAUGAGUCCCAGUCCAGGUGUUUCACUCCUCCCCAGAAGAUUGUCUACUACUCAAAGCCAGUUUAUAUUAUUAUCUUAAAUGUCCAGAAAAGACAACUUUAUAAGACAGAAAGUAAAUUAGUGGAUUCCUGGGAUUGGGAGGGGGAACAAGGAUGAACUGUACAUAGACAGAGAUGUUAUUGGGAGAAUGAAAAUGUACUAAAACUAAUUUAUGAUGGUGGUUGGACCACUUGGUAAAAUUAUUAAAAACACUGAAUUGUUAACUUGAAAUGGGAGACUUUUACUACAUGUAAGAUAUAAAAUUAUGAUUCAACAUAUCAGUCUUAUAAAUCACAAACUUUCUUAUUAAAAACUUUUUAUCUUAAGAUAAUACAGUCCAACUACAGGAUUAUAUACUCCAUACUUUUAUAGUAUGAGUAAUAUUCUUAGGCUAAUUGUAAGUUAUAUAAAAUUGAAACUACAAUGAAAACUGCCCAUCCCACCCCAAAUAAACAAUGAUAUAACUACAGUAAUUUGAAAAACAGGGAAAUAGGGAAUUUUGAAUAGAGCUAUAAAAGUUAGGUACACAAAGCAUCCAAAAUUCAAACCAUAGCAAUGAGAGAUGUUUGAUAUAUCAUGAUAUACAAUGGAUUGAAGAAGUGGUCCAGAAUUUUUCCAAAUGCAGUACAUAAAGCAUAAAUUUGAAUCCUGUUUGGCUUUGUUGAUCAUAAAUUGGAUUGGUUAAGUAAUUAAAUUUUGGGUUUUUGAAGGUCAAAGACAUUGUUUCCCUGGCAUGUUUUACUUCUACUGUUCUGUAUAUAUUUAAUAAUAAUAUAUUACUGGGCCAAAUGCUUAAAGUAAUUCAAUUAUAGUAAAUGAUAAUACUCAACUAGGGGAGUCAUUAAUCACUUUAAUCUAUGUCUUGCAGGCAUAGGAUUCUUUUUAGGGUAUAGACUUUGUAAUGAUUUAGUUUUAGGCAAUCAUGUCCAAAUAUAGUUAGUUUUCAUAAUUCAUGAUAUUGAACAACUUUAAUCAGAUCUACAAUAAAUUUAUUAGUUGGAAAAUAUAGCAAAGAUUCACAUAUUUUAAUUUGAGAUUGUAAAGCUUAUAUGCUAAGUAUUUGGAAUGAAUUAAUUUUUCAUUUGUUAGAAUUUGUAGGUCUCAGGAGAGCCGUUGGGAUGCCCUGCUCUCUGUUACUUCUCUAUUCAUCUUUGGCAGCAAAAAACAUUUUUAUAGCACUAGGAAUUCUAUUCCUUACUCACCUGCUUGUGAUAUCAUCCUCUUUAUUCUUAUGAUUAUUAUUUUUUGUUAGAGCCACUCUGGAGUAUUGGCUUCAGGUUAUUUUUCUGUUAUCCCUUUUUCUCAGAGAGGUUUGAAGUAGGCAUAGGCACUUCAUUUCCUGGGCCUUUUAAUGACCUUCCUACCUGUCUUUAGGGUCAAGGAGGGGUAGGGGCAGGAUCACGUGCAUUAAAUGUCUGCAUCUACUUGGACUCUCGUUUUGCCUUUCAGUGCUAAAUGUUUGAGCGAAACUAGAGUUUGGGGAUAUAAUAAGUUGCAUGGGUACAUACAUGCACAUGGGAAGAUAUUUAUUUGUGAUUACUUUCAUAGCGUUUUUGUGAUUGCUGGGUGCCUUUGGGAUCCCCUGUUCUUUUAUUCUUUGCUUAGCCAUCUCUAGGCUUCUAGUGGAUUUUAAAUAAAUCUUAAUCAUAGGCAUAGUUAUCACCAACCAAGUGUGUUGGAGGGUAUGAUCCCUCAAUAAAAAAUGAAGAGAUUCUUUUUAUAUGGGCAAUGAAAAAAAUAAAUCAACUUGAGAUACUGGAUCAGGAAUAUUUACAAAUAUUUGCUUGGAGCAUUCUAGAUCUGACAGCCAUAUUUGCUGAGACAUAUUAGGAAAAUAUUGGUUAUUUGGAGGUCUCCAGAAUAUAGUGUGUUUGAAGAAAAUUCUUACAGCCUGGAAAGCCAAAAACUAAAAAUUAAAGGUCAGUUGAAAUUUUUAAACACCCAGUUUAAAAAAUGUUGUCUUUAGGAAAGAAACUGGAAAGUAGAAACAGAGGUGGGAACUAGAAAUAGAAGAAUUAGUAAUAGCAUAGUGAAGUCAAAUUUGGGGAUGUUUUGAUAAAGUACUGAUACAAAUUUGGGAAUUUAUUUAAAGAACAGGCAGCAUAGCAAACGUUGAAGGAAGUAGGUCUAGGUCUUGUAUAAUGGUUGCCUAGGAUAUUUGGACCCUCAGAAUAGAAAGGAUACCCAAGGGCAGAGAAUAAGAAGCAAGAGUUGAAAAGAAACUUUAGAAAAUGGAAAAGGAAGCCAAGACUUUGGAGGCAGAUCUUAGAAGCAUUUUAAAAACAGGUCUAAUUCAGCAAUCUGGGAGUCAAGUGUAAGAACCAGGAAGGAGUCUUCUGUAGCAAUCAGGAGCUAGAGGCAGAAGGAAUUUUCCAAGAAGGCAGUAAUGACAGCAGUCUGGGGUGACAGAAAUCUGUAUUAAAAAAUAAAUGCAUGGCACACAAAAAGGAGAGGAAGCAAUGGGAAGUCUGAGGAGCUCCCUCCUGUGUAUGUUUUUUAGAUGAUUGCUUAUCAUUAUUGUAAAGUGUCUUUUUCAGAGAAAAGAGCAAAAGCUGUGUUUCUUAACUGAGUUGAUGUAAUUCAGAAUUGAGGUGCAAGAACGUGAGUCAAGGGGAUCAUGGAGAGAAUCUCAGACACACUGGAACAUGAAGCUGUGAGUGUCAGUGCUCAGAGUAUUUUAUUCACAAAGGAAAAAGGAUUUAGAGCCCAAGUAUCAAGAAAGAGCUGAAAACUUAUUUUGAAACAUUGGUAAUCUUUAUCUUCCUUUCACAUCCUUUUAGUAGAAAGAAUGAGAAUAUUACAAAAGAUCUCUGUUGGAGGUUUUUGCUCAAUUUUGCUUUGUUGAAGUAUUAUGAAGUAUUAAAUAAAAUACUAUAUAAUCUACUCUAGCAUUUCUCCACAUUUCUUUAUCAAACAAAGCAACCUAAAUCCCAGUGCCUGACACAAGACAAGCAAACAAAAGUGUACAUGUUAAAACCUUUACAAAAUGGACAACACUCUACCCCAACUCUUCAUUACACAGGCUAAAUGGUGAUUUUAAAAUCACACUGUUGGUUUGUGUCUUCUUUUAGGAGAAUAUUAACAUCUUAGUAAAAUUCUAUUAGUAUCUUGGCUGCUCAGUGGACUCACACUUUGUGUGUAGCAGGAGAACAGAGCUAUCUCGAAAUUCCCCUCUGGCUAAAUAUGCUCUCUGUCUAUUCCUUUGUUCUGUUUCACUAAAAAUUGUUAAGUACUUAAUUAGAUAAAUGAUUUUAACAAGAGAAAAAUUAUGCUCUUAAAUUGAGAUUUAAAUUGAGUUUAAAUUAAAUUAAAUUAUGAGUUGUCCUCCUUCCUGGUGCCGGAGAGGGAGAGACCAUUACAAGUGCAACUUUCCUUUGUAAAUGUGAAUUCCCUUUACAAAAGAGAAAUUUAUACUUUGUUUUUAGAAAUUUUCUGCUUCUCUUUCUCAAUUGUCAUCAGCUCAAAACUAUCUUAUGACAAAGAGGAAUAUUUUGAGGUGGCAUAUUCUGGUUCCCCUUAAUGUAUUUAUAUAAAUAUGUAAUUAUUUUAUUUAUAUGUAUAAAUAUACACAUAUAUGCUAUAAUUAUAAUAUGUAUCUAUGCUAUCUGCCUACAGCAAAAUUCUUCUGAAA